UUUCAUUCUUUUUUUAUGAUUGAGUAGUAGUCCAUUAUGUAUGUAUACACCACAUCUUUAUCCAUUCAUCUGUCGGUGAACACUUAGGUUGCUUCUGUAUCUUGGCAGCUGUAAAUAAUACUGCUGUGAGCGUUGGGGUGCACAUAUCUCUUCAAGUUAGUGUUUUGGGGUUUUUUGGAUAUGUACCUCAGAGUAGCUUGCUGUCAUAUGAUAGUCCACUUUUAGUUCUGCUUUGGUUUUCCACAGUGACUGAUCAGUUUACAUUCCCACCAGCAGUGUACAGGGGUUUCCUUUCUCCACAUCCUCACCAACAUGUGUUAUUUGUGUUCUUUCUCAUGAUAGCCACUCUGACAGGUGUGAGGUAGGAUUUAAUUCUUAGUGUAAAAAAGAGAUUAUGGUUCUAAUAGAAGAAAUAGUCAGAAAUAAAAUAAGUGAAUGUAAAUUAUGUGGGGAAAACAGGGAUAUCUUUUAGCAAAUAAAGAAAUUAGAGGUUAGGGAAGAAAUGUGGAAAAUAAUCCCAUCAUAUCUUCUAAAGCUCCCAUUUCCAUUAUUUUGGAAAUGACCAAAUACUGUGUAAGUGGCUUAUAGCCCUUGUUAACACUGUCAGAGUGUCUCUUAUUAGAUAUAAAAGAUCUUUUCCUCAAAAUAUUCCUUUAAAAAAUAUAAUACCUGCAUCAGUAAGUUAUCCAGAAUGUGUUUUUGUUUGUUUUUUCUGGGUUUUUUUUAAGCGAUGAAGUUUGCUUUUUGUGGUGUUCUGUGCUAAAAGAGGUUUGUUAUUUGGAAUUAAGAAAGGAAUUACAAAUUAUCAGUAUGUAUAAACAGUCUCAACUGAAAUGUCAGAACUUUUAUUGUCCCAUCAGAAUCACAGCCACAACAAGAGCUAGUCUUUUUAUCUUUGACCUGACUCCACUCAGAAGGGCAUUUUUCACCUUGUACUUUUUGUCUUUGAGGAAGUGCUGUAGAAAAGUUAGUUACUCAAACAUUUAAAACGUGCGGGGGCAGACACUGAAAACAUAAAGAAGUCUUAAUGCUGUCAUUUUGGGCAAGAUCCACCAGCCUACAUCCUAUUUUUAGGAAGAAGAGAGUAUCAGAAAGUCUUACACUAUGGUUUUAAUUGGACUUUCUCCCCCAGUUGUCACUUAAAAGCAGACUCCUAAGCAAAUUCAUAAGAACUCAUGGAAGUAGAGUAGGAAACAAAAACAUCUGACUUGGAAACAGAAACUGGUAAUAAAAUAGUUUCCUUUUGUGGGUGUGUAUAAGUCAGCUCCAAAAAUGUAGUGUGUCACAUAAAAAAAGCACUGUCCAAACGUUACAUCAGGCUGUUUUAAGGGCUAAUGUAUAAGUUUAUUUCUUUUGACAUAAACAGAAUGUACAAAGAUCAGUUGUUAGAUGUAGUUCCAGGAGUGAUGAUGGGUCUUUAUCUUGUAUACGCUUCUUGACUUGUAAGAAUCAGUCAAAUUCAUUCUUUCUGCAAUAGAUUCCUGCCAAGGUUUAAAAUACAUUUCAUUUUUCCGAUACAAAAUGUGCAAAACAAAUGGGAUCAAGGCUAUGGCUUUUAGAAGUAGCUUGUUAAACACCAACAAGCCCUGCAGACUGCCGUUGCCAAUUCUGUUGGAUGCUGUGUUAGUGGAUACUGGUGACUUUGUCCCUGUGUGAAGGUAAUUGUAAUUCUUUGGAGGAGGUGGGGCAGGGGUGGUGUCUAUACUUAAAAAUUAUCAAGUGUUGCAUUAGGUUAGAGUUUCUGAAGCUUAAAACUCUUUCUUUAGAAAGAACAUCUAUUAAUACAGUUUCUAGUUAUGAGGGCUAAGGUCCAAAGGACAGACCGAAGGAAUGACAGAGGAAGGGGAUUUAGGGCUGACAGGUGGUCCCCAGACAUAUUGGCUGAGAGAGAGUUCACAGCUAAAGUGUCACAUGUGGGUGUUACUGUGUUUUCCUCAUCCACGCUCUCGUGGAGGGCUGUUCUGAAGCACUCAAUAGUAGGCUAUGGCCAUCAAAAGUGACUUUAACAAGACAUUCAGAAGAAUAGCCCGGCUCUUUUACUGGUUCCCCAAGUCACUAACCUGCUCAAAGAAUCGGAAAUCCAAGUUGCUCUGGAGCCAGGGGCGAGGUAAGUUAUCUGAGGCUAAUGCUUCAUUUGAAAUACAUUUUCUUCUGUUAGUAAAAUGGAGCCUCUCUCAAGUAAGGAGAAAAAAAAAAAAAGCUCUUAAAACCUUUAAAAAGUUAUUUAACAUGGUUUUCUGAGAGAAAAUUAAGAGAAAGCAAUUUGAAGAUGAUAUAUUAAAAGCCAUGAACAUUUUAUAAUCCAGUUUUGCUCUAUAGGCAUUUGGGUUUGGAGACGUUUUCUAAAGAGAGAUGGAGGAUGUUUAGCUUUUUUUUUUUUAAAAAAAAAAGGAGCUCUUAUUAUCAGUGAAUCUCAAUUUGCUUGUGGAAUUAAAAUACCUUAGAAUAAGCAAAAAAAGAAUAAUCAAAUACAGUCCCCUUCUCACAGAAAAUUUAAAAAGUCAAUGGACCAUUUUAUUUCUUUGGGUCAGUUUAUACAGCAUAUUUUAGUCAAGCUUUAAGGUAAGAUUUAAAGCACCUUGAGUGUACCGCUGCAUUUCCAUCUGGUCCUGCCUGGCUGGAAUAUGAGGAGUCCUAGAACAGGGGGUGGAGGGAAGAGGAUACCUGAGCCUUUCUGCAGAGCCCAGCUCUCAUUUUCCUAGCCUGCACCUGGGAGGAGGUCUGGAAGUGCCGCCGGGAACAAGGUGAGCAGAUGCUCUUCCUUCAGUGUUUCAUCUUGCAGUUGACUCAAAACUUAGAGCCUUUUGACACCUAUGUGGCUCUGCAUGUUAUAAAAGAGCUUAACAUUUACCCUUUGUCUGGUGGGUAAUCCAGCGUGAUACGAUGGCAUGAUUCAAGAGCCACCACCAUUCUUCCUUUACCUGAUGCAGAAAUGACUGUGGCUGUCUGAUUAAGAACUUGACAAAGUGUAGGGCCUAGUACCUUUCAGUCAUCUCUUUUUCCUUAAACUGAUACUUCCAUUCUUUUUCACUAUCAAAAUGUGUAUAAUCUAGCUUAAUAGUUUAAAACUCUCAGGGGAUGGGUGUGUGUGUGUGUGUGUGUGCACGCGUGAAUUAUACUGCAAGGAAGUUAAUCUAAAUUAAAAGUUACUAUAUAAUUAAUAAUUAUUAAGCAUGUUGAUGGAAAUAGCACAUCUAGAUCAAAACCUGCCACACAAGUUCUGAAUAGAUGUCAACGUCUAUUUCUAGUCCUAAUGGUGCAUUCAAGAAAGCUAAUUUUUGAUCCUUGAAAGCAAAAAAAAAAAAAAAAAAGUGUUGAAGGUUCUCCAAAUGGGAGCCUAGAUAUAUGUGUUAAAUAUGAAUGUGAUGUUUCACUCCUCUGGAUUCCUGUUACUAUUCCUGCUAGCUGAGAAGUAUUGAGGUCAUUACUGAAAAGAGGACACUGAGGGAAAAAAAAAAAAAUGACUGAUUGAAAUUGGGGGUGUUGAUGUAGCUUCUGGGUACAUUAAUGUCUUAGAAUUAGACGGACCUUAAAUGCCUGUGAGCCCAAGAACAAAUGCAAAAUUAAACAACUGGGAUUUCUUAAAGAAGCGUAAUAAUUUGCCCAAGACAGAGAGCUGAAAGGUGACAUAGUCAGGGGAAGUGAAUUUUGGUUUCAUCUUUGCCUGAAUUUGAGCUCUUCACCCCACUUCAGAGCCCUCCUGGAUCUGUUCCCCCAAAUCAUGAGAACAUAGCCCUUCUACUUGCUGCGUUGAUCUCAUCUCUAGAAGAGAGGGGGAGUCUGUGAAACUACGAGAAGUUCAACUUAUGAAGCUUCAAAUUUUUAAUUUCAUACUUAUAAGUGCUUUAGAAACAGCAGACCUUUUUGGAAGACCAGGAGGCAUGAAAGCAAGUACUUUUGGAAAUGCAGUGUUUCCUGUGACAUGGUUUUCUAGACAGAUCAGGAAAGUUCAAUGUAGAACACCUUUGAAAAUACCAAAAAGCCUAUGUUACAGAAUGAAUCUUCUCUAGGCUCAAAACUUUCUUUUUUUGAGAGCAUAUAAAGUAAUAAUAGAAAUUGCAACAAAGCUUCUCUUCCCAGAUGUCAAAUCUAUUAUUUUCAUCUCAGCUCCUGCUGGAGGACAUAGGGAGAAAUUGGCAAGGACCCACCCUUAGCUUCCUUUAGUCACCAAAACACCAGCACGGUGAUAGACCCAUGGUAGGACAUGCUCAGUGCUGUUGAUGAAAUGUGUGGUUAAGAUGUUUUAAUUCUUCAUCCCACCCUCUCACCUGACCCAACAGGUCACAAAAGAACACAAACAUGCAUACAUACACACAGCAUCUAAUCAAGUCUUUUGUCAAUGGGGAUUUUAGGACUGGUCACCAUCAAAUGAUUUGGAUGAUUUGCCAAGAGAAUUGAGAAUUCAUUCUUGAUAAUGACCAGGAGUGCCAACCCAAGAAAUUAAGGGACCAGAAGUCUCCCCCUCACCCACUCCCCAAACUAUUUGGCUGUGAUUUCUAUAGCCAUCCACCUACUUGGUUUCAGCUAAUGAAGCUGGGGAUUCCACAGUUUCUGUGUCCCAGGAGGGGUUUAAAAUGCAACAAAACAAAACAUUUACAGGACUAAUCCUGAGAAUCUGGUUCCCUGGGGAAGAAAGAAGAGCAAGGAUUUCCUCAAUUCUAUCCCCUCCCACUGCUUUGGGUUGCUGAACCCCCUCUGGGAAUCCAGAAUAGUGUUGCUUCUAGAGCAGCUACAUUUUCCAAACCCAAGGUGUCAGGCACAGGGACGUGGUGUGAAGGGAUGGGAGCUGACCAUUGAUUGAUUCCAGAGGAAAGAAAGAUGCCCACGUUUUUUUCUCUGAGAUCACUUCUCUGUUCAUUUGCUUAAAACCACAUGGGCUUCCUUGUUUGGACGCUACUGUGUAGAUAAAAAUGUCCCUGUGGGUCCAGAAAACCCCUCCUUGCCUCCCAGGUCUGCCAGGCUUCAGCAAGUGCUCUCUCUAAAGAUCAGCUCCCAAAUUUGUGUAUGAUCCAGAGUCACUUAUAGCCUAAGACCAAAGACUGAAUUUGGGGAUGGAAAAAGCAAGCUGCAACAAGCACAAAUGUUUUUAACAAAGUGGCCUUCACGUCGGGCUGAUUUGUCCACAACCCAGUUCUGAGUGGGUCAGUUGACCAGGGAGGGGCUGGAAAGCUGGUGGUGGGAGGGAGGUCCAGAGUCCCAUCGGAUUGCUGUUGUCACUUGCUAGCUGUUCGGGCUUCACUCAUUCUUCCUUCUUCCCUUCCUUCCUCCCAUCAUGCUCGCAGCUUCCCCAAGAGUGAGAUUUCUAAAGCACGUGUAUGCUCACGUCACUGACCCUCCCAAGUCACACACUGCAUUGUAGCUCCCUUCUGCUUACAGUUUUGGUUUGGUUUUUUUUCUGAUUUUCCUGCACCACUUAACACCUCUCAUGAUGCUCCAUGGUGUCAAGGUGCAGGGUCUAAAGAGGGUGCCAAUGCUCUAUUUGAGAUCCGCUGACUUUUAAGGUACUUACUCCUUUGUAUGCCAUUCAAGGCCCAGCUCAAUCCAACCUACAUAGCCAGUCCCAUCUCCACAUACUUCCUGCAUUGCAUCCUCUGCAAUAACUAUAUCAGCAUCCACGUCGUGCUGAUAUACAAACUCAGAUGCCUGUAAAAUUCCAGGUGUGAUUUAACCAAAAGGAAAGACUUCCCUUGUGGCUCAGCUGGUAAAGAAUCUGCCUGCAAUGUGGGAGACCUGGCUUCAAUCCCUGGGUUGGGAAGAUCCCCUAGAGAAGGCAAUGGUUACCCUCUCCAAUAUUCUUGCCUGGAGAAUUUCAUGGACAGAGGAGCCUGGCGGGCUACCCACAGUACAUGGGGUUGCAAAGAGUAGGACACAACUGAACGACUAACACUUUGAUUAACCAAAAGGAAAAGUAUCGGGUGUAAGAAAAAUGGGAAAUGGGGGGAUUCUGGCAACCUGAAAAGCUCGGGUUCUGACUUCAUCCUGUUCAUCCAGUUGUUGGGCAUCAGGUCUUAGAGUUUCAAAAACCUUUUUGUUCAUCUGCUCAUCAAACUUUAUACCUGUUUCAAGAUACUUGUACUUCUCUUAUGGUACUUGUUACCAUCUUGUACUUUGAUUGUCGUUGUUUGUGUACAUUUCUUACCUCUUCUAAACUGUUCAUCUGAGAGGGACUAACCAAAAGUUCAUGUCCUCCUUUUCAGAAGCUCUGAAAGCAUCCUCUCCUCUUUUUCCUCCUUUCUCUCUCACUUUUUGGCAGACCUAACUAGCAAAGCUGUCCUGGGGCACAGGCAUCUCCUGUCCUCAUUGUCUCUUUGGAAGAGACAUACACAUUCUUACACUAUUUUCAGCCUUUUAAAGCCCCAUAUACUCCACCUACUUGCGAUCAUAAUGAGCUUUGGCUGUGGACGGGGGAAACAGGCUGGUAGGUGGCAUUAAUGAGUGUGGGUGAGAUUCUGCAGACCUAGAAUUUAUUUGAUUCUGCCCUGAAUUUUUUCAAAGCUUACUUUUCUACUGUUAUCUGUUUUGGAGUUUCUUUUCUUCUGGUAGGGUGAUCAGGAACAUAGAGAUCUGCUGUCAGAACCGACUUGAGAAUACAGAUCAAUUGAUUCCUUGCUGCCACUGUGAUGUGUAAAAGGAACAGUUGAAAGAGACAUGAUGUCAGCUCAUUACUUCUGCCCCACAGGCUGCAAACAGCCGCAAAUAUGACAAGCCAGGUGAACAAGGGAGGGAGGGAGGUCAGUAGUGACCUCAUCCCCCCACAGCUACUCAUUAUUCUAAUUAUUCUGAGGACCACAGCCACUUCUCAGUGUGAGACCACAGGUCCUCUUACUUCAGAACGUCCAGGGGUGAUUGUUAAAACUUUGCCUCCCAAACCUCCAGCCUAAGGACCCGUACUCCUGGGGGAGGGGCUGUGACGCUGCAGCUUUAACAAGCUCCCCAGGUGGUGCUCAUGCUGCCUUCAUCCCGGGCCUACUGAAUUACACACCCCUGCAUUCGGGUCUCAGUAUAUCCUCCACACUGCACUGCCGUCCACGGUCGCCAUCAGAGCACAAGGACCAAGAACUUGGUUGAGGUCAGAGCCUGGCUUGGCCACAUAUUGGCACCAGAAAAGUGAAGCAAGGCUACCACCAUCCUCACAGGACUAACCCCAGAGUUUAACCAAGGGAUAAAAAUGCUUCAAAGGUGACAACAGGGGGUGAUCAGGGACAGAAGAGCACAGCCACUCGGGAGAGAAGCUUCCAGUUCUCCCAGGAGGCAAGAGCGACACUCAACAGCAGUUCAUGCUCGGGAACUUCGGGUUUUCAGUACAAAGAUAAAACAAUCUCACUGACGGACCUGCUUGAAGAAGGCAGCCUUACUUCUCCUAAUUCUUGACUGCUGUUGUAAGGGGUUCCUUUUCCCCAAACAGUGGGACUCGUGACCUGACUUAGUGUAUGAUACUUUCCUAGUAUCCUUGGAAGUCGAUAAAACCUGUUACCCAAUCAAU